rnacentral:rRNA from 2 species
UGCGCCGAAAAUGUAACGGGGCUAAACACAUUACCGAAAUCGUGGAUGUACCGUAAGGCACAUGGUAGGAGAGCGUUCUAAGGACGGCGAAGCUAGACCGUAAGGACUGGUGGAGUGCUUAGAAGUGAGAAUGCCGGUAUGAGUAGCGAAAGAUCAGUGAGAAUCUGGUCCACCGUAUGACUAAGGUUUCCUGGGGAAGGCUCGUCCUCCCAGGGUUAGUCGGGACCUAAGCCGAGGCCGAGAGGCGUAGGCGAUGGAUAACAGGUUGAGAUUCCUGUACUGGUUAAACUUGUUUGAACAAUGGAGGGACGCAGGAGGCUAUCGAUGCGUACUGUUGGAUAUGUACGUUCAAGCAAUAAGUCUGUAG